rnacentral:rRNA from 1 species
AUUGAACGCUGGCGGCAGGCCUAACACAUGCAAGUCGGGCGAGUGGCGGACGGGUGAAUAAUGUAUGGGGAUCUGCCUGAUGGCGGGGGAUAACUACUGGAAACGGUAGCUAAUACCGCAUACCAUCAGAUGAACCCAUAUGGGAUUAGCUUGUAGGUGAGGUAACGGCUCACCUAGGCGACGAUCCCUAGCUGGUCUGAGAGGAGGAUCAGCCACCGUGGUACUGGGACACGGCCCAGCCUCCUACGGGCGGCAGCAGUGGGGAAUAUUGCACAAUGGGCGCAAGCCUGAUGCAGCCAUGCCGCGUGUAUGAAGAAGGCCUUCGGGUUGUAAAGUACUUUCAGUCGGGAGGCGUUACCGACAGAAGAAGCACCGGCUAACUCCGUGCCAGCAGCCGCGGUAAUAC